GGGUUGUGAGGUUAAGCGACUAAGCGUACACGGUGGAUGCCCUGGCAGUCAGAGGCGAUGAAGGGCGUGCUAAUCUGCGAUAAGCGCCGGUAAGGUGAUAUGAACCGUUAUAACCGGCGAUACCCGAAUGGGGAAACCCAGUGUGACUCGUCACACUAUCAUUAACUGAAUCCAUAGGUUAAUGAGGCGAACCGGGGGAACUGAAACAUCUAAGUACCCCGAGGAAAAUAAAUCAACCGAGAUUCCCCCAGUAGCGGCGAGCGAACGGGGAGGAGCCCAGAGCCUGAAUCAGCAUGUGUGUUAGUGGAAGCGUCUGGAAAGGCGCGCGAUACAGGGUGACAGCCCCGUACACAAAAGCGCAUGUGCUGUGAGCUCGAUGAGUAGGGCGGGACACGUGGUAUCCUGUCUGAAUAUGGGGGGACCAUCCUCCAAGGCUAAAUACUCCUGACUGACCGAUAGUGAACCAGUACCGUGAGGGAAAGGCGAAAAGAACCCCGGCGAGGGGAGUGAAAAAGAACCUGAAACCGUGUACGUACAAGCAGUGGGAGCCCCACCACCAAAGCAUUCUCUGGUGUUGAAGGCCCUGCAAAGCAGCAUCGCGGUGGCGGAGCGUCGUUUGCGACGCCCAACACACAAAACAAGCGGUGAGUGCUUUGGGGUGGGGUGACUGCGUACCUUUUGUAUAAUGGGUCAGCGACUUAUAUUCUGUAGCAAGGUUAACCGAAUAGGGGAGCCGGAGGGAAACCGAGUCUUAAUUGGGCGUUAAGUUGCAGGGUAUAGACCCGAAACCCGGUGAUCUAGCCAUGGGCAGGUUGAAGGUUGGGUAACACUAACUGGAGGACCGAACCGACUAAUGUUGAAAAAUUAGCGGAUGACCUGUGGCUGGGGGUGAAAGGCCAAUCAAACCGGGAGAUAGCUGGUUCUCCCCGAAAGCUAUUUAGGUAGCGCCUCGUGAAUUCAUCUCCGGGGGUAGAGCACUGUUUCGGCUAGGGGGUCAUCCCGACUUACCAACCCGAUGCAAACUGCGAAUACCGGAGAAUGUUAUCACGGGAGACACACGGCGGGUGCUAACGUCCGUCGUGAAGAGGGAAACAACCCAGACCGCCAGCUAAGGUCCCAAAGUCAUGGUUAAGUGGGAAACGAUGUGGGAAGGCCCAGACAGCCAGGAUGUUGGCUUAGAAGCAGCCAUCAUUUAAAGAAAGCGUAAUAGCUCACUGGUCGAGU
rnacentral:rRNA from 1 species